rnacentral:lncRNA from 1 species
CUGAAAUGGGGAGCUGGUCCCUUCAGGUUAGCCCACAUGGACAAGAUGGCGGCCACCAUAAGCAUGUUCCGGACUGACGGCAGAAGUGACUUUUCUUCUCCAUGAGUGAGGCAGAAAGAUGUGUGAAACCAACAGGACACCAGAGUCCAAAGGACACAACAUCCAAAAAGACCACUGUCACAGUCCAGCUCUUGAGAUGGUGCAGCCCACAUUUGAGGAAGCUGAGGGCAGAAAUGGGCACAAGAAAUUAAUCAACACCUUUGAUCACCAACCCAUCCAAGCAAGAAAUGUACACCGGCCAGCAAUAUCUAGGCUGCCAUUGUUCCUGUUCCCUGACCUCAAGGAGUCCCUUGUUCAACUAUUAAAAGUGUGUGUUUCAGGGCUGGAGAGAUGGCUCCGAGGUUAAGAUUACUGGCUGCUUUUCCAGAGUCCUGAGUUCAAUUUCCAGCAACCACAUGGUGGCUCACAACCGUCCAUUAUGAGAUCUCUUCUGGUGUGCAGAUAUACAUGGAAA